GGUUGAAUCUUCUCUACCAAAAAACAAAGACACGAUGAUUUACGACGUUAACUCUCCUCUUUUCCGAUCCUUCCUCAGCCAGAAGGGCGGUUCCUCCGAUAAGAGGAAAAACGAGGAGCAGAAGCCUAAAGAACAAAGAUUCAAAGCCAACGAGAACAAGCCUGUUAUGACAGAAUGA